rnacentral:rRNA from 1 species
UACGGAGGGUGCGAGCGUUGUUCGGAAUCACUGGGCGUAAAGCGCGUGUAGGCUGGUGAUCAAGUCCGAUGUGAAAUCCCUUGGCUUAACCAAGGAACUGCAUUGGAAACUGGUCGCCUUGAGUACGGGAGAGGGAAGUGGAAUUCCUAAUGUAGAGGUGAAAUUCGUAGAUAUUAGGAGGAACACCGGUGGCGAAGGCGGCUUCCUGGACCGAUACUGACGCUGAGACGCGAAAGCGUGGGGAG